GAUGAAUAAAUACAAAGUCAUAAAAAUAAUGUUAAAAUGAAAAAUAUGUAAAAAGUAUUUUAAACAAUUAAGGAGAACUAUUGUUAAAAUUAAAAAGUUUUUUAAAGUAAAAUCAAGUCAAAUAGUCCUCUGUCCCAUACAUGUAAAUCCUCAAUAUAGAAAUCCUGCUCUUCUUAUUCCUAUUGUUAUCUGAAAAUAUAUAAUUUAUGCAGAUGAUAUUAUCAAAUGAAUAUAAUUUCAAACUUCUCUAGAGUUGCUAUAUGAUCGGUAAAUUAUAAUAUAUUUUAAUUGUCUACUGACAAAAACAUGAUCUUCUGAGGUCCCAAUUUAAAAAAAAAAUGUUGAAAGGAAAUACUGGAAUCCGAAGGAUCAAUCCCGAAAUCCUGAGCUAAAAAUACCCAAUCCAGACGUCCCGAAAAAGGUCCUCUAGAAAAGGUAAUACUUAUACACACCAACAGAUGUUUGGAAAAAUUUUCUACUUAUAAAUUCAUUUACUUAGUAUUUAAAAUUCAUCACCAUAAUAACAUAUCAACCUUUUUAAUAGAUAUAAAUAAUGUUUAAAUAAAGUAUAACGUAAUAUGCAACAUUAAAUUAUCUUACAGGUAUCUGUUAUUUAAAAGAUAACUUUUCAUUCAAUCAUUCAUAUCUUUAAUUCUUCAUACCAGUAAUUGAUAAUAAAUGUAUCCAAUGCCAAUAAAACCUGGCCACAACACCUAGCCAAUACUGAAGGUGGCAAUAAAAUUCAACAAUAAAUCACAUAUUUUUUUUUUAGCAUGGAAGGAGGGACAGAAUUUAUACUUUCCUACUGGUGAAUAUUUCAUAUACCUGAAACCUUUUAAAAGAUAUUUUACAUGCCCAUAUGCACUAUUCAGCAAAAAUAAUAGUACUGUUGUUCACAUAGACAAGGGUCUGGAUGGGGUGUUCUGCAUUUCUUUAUCAUUUAAUCUUUAGUUCAUUGGUCUCUAUUUUUUUUUAUACUUUUUGUCCAUAAUUUCUCUUUCCUCAAUAUAUAAAUUAGCACAUCAAUAGUUCAAAAUGAUUAUGACCAGACCUCUGGCUUGCUGCUAGGAAUAUUUUGAUUUUUUUCUGGGAUGCAUAGGAAGUCGUCCCAGAAAAAAAGUAGUCUUGUCAGACUUCAUAAUAAUUUGGACUAGCAUGUCAUUUGCUCUAUUUUUUACUUAUUUUAUGGUAAAUUUUCUCUAUUCUUGUUCCUUUAGUAAUAAUUCUCUAAUUCUUUAUACGUUUUAAUAGUCAUAGUUCCCAGUGGCAGAUCCAGGGAUAGGGUUCCAGGGAUUGGAAUCUCCUUUUUUUUGGGACGAUCAAUGCAUUUGAAUGGGGAC
rnacentral:lncRNA from 1 species